rnacentral:rRNA from 1 species
AUGGAAACAGACUGCCUAGAGAUAGUUAAUCUCUGGAACACUCGUCAUAACAACCUUUCUGUUGUGGCUCCUUUACUUUUAGAAAUUGGAGAGCUAGCUUCCUCUUUUUCUUCUUUUGUUGUUCAACAUGUAAACAGAUCAGCCAAUUUACUGGCCCACCUUUGUGCUAAACAUGCAAAGACAUUGUUGGUCACCGAAAGUUGGACUGGUUCGAGACCUUCCUUCCUACUCACCAGCCUUUUGGCGGAUGAUGCUAGGAGUGCCUUUGUUGAAUAA